UAGAGUGUUGGUUUGUUAUUGGCUGUUGUUUACUUUCUUUUCAGUUGGCGAUUCACCUUUUACCUUCUUGCUUUCACUGCUGGCAUGACGGUUGUAGUUGACAAACCCUGGUUUUAUGAUCUGCGAGAAACUUGGAAAGGAUUUCCAAUUCAGACGAUGUUACCGUCGCAGUACUGGUACUAUAUGAUCGAGCUGGGCUUCUACUGGUCCCUCCUGUUCAGCGUGGCCUUCGACGUUAAGAGAAAGGUAAGGAUUUUUUCCCACGUCU